rnacentral:miRNA from 13 species
GGAGAAGAAAGGAUGCCGCUCAAUUACCCCGACAUAGUCGUACGGUGAAUGUUGUGUAUUGGAGACCAAUGUUAACUGUAAGACUGUGUCUCGGUGGUUGCCAGCCCAGCCACACAGCCCA